rnacentral:rRNA from 1 species
UUCGCAAUGCCCGAAAGGGUGACGAAGCGACGCCGCGUGGGUGAGGAAGGCCUUCGGGUUGUAAAGCCCUGUCAGGAGUUAAGAAAUGUAAGUGCGCUAAUACCGCAUUUAUUUGACGAAGGCUCCAAAGGAAGUCACGGCUAACUCUGUGCCAGCAGCCGCGGUAAUACAGAGGUGGCAAGCGUUGUUCGGAAUUAUUGGGCGUAAAGAGCACGUAGGUGGGUUUGUAAGUCAGAUGUGAAAGCCUCCUGUUCAACGGGAGAAUUGCAUCUGAAACUACAGAUCUUGAGUGUAGGAGGGGAGAAUGGAACUUCUGGUGGAGCGGUGAAAUGCGUAGAUAUCAGAAGGAACGCCGGCGGCGAAAGCGAUUCUCUGGCCUAUUGCUGACACUCAGUGUGCGAAAGCUAGGGUAGCAAACGGGAUUAGAUACCCCGGUAGUCCUAGCCGUAAACGAUGGGCACUAAGUAGAGGGGUUUUA